CAGCCGCCGCGGUAAUACAGAGGGUGCAAGCGUUAAUCGGAAUUACUGGGCGUAAAGCGCGCGUAGGUGGUUCGCCAAGUUGGAUGUGAAAUCCCUGAGCUUAACUUAGGAAUUGCAUUCGAUACUGGGAAGCUAGAGUAUGGGAGAGGAUGGUAGAAUUCCAGGUGUAGCGGUGAAAUGCGUAGAGAUCUGGAGGAAUACCGAUGGCGAAGGCAGCCAUCUGGCCUAAUACUGACGCUGAGGUACGAAAGCAUGGGGAGCAAACAGGAUUAGAUACCCCCGUAGUCCCUGUCUCUUAUAC
rnacentral:rRNA from 1 species